AAAACACGAUUUAGAAAAGUUGUGCCACGUCAGCGGCCCGGUCAGCAACCCCGGCCAACCAGGACACGCCGCGUGGCAAGGAAACGUUGACCAGAGGACGGGUCAUGUGGGCGAUCCGCGUGCGCGCGAUCAGAUGGUCCAGAUCUGUUCCCGCGCACAAUCCGCCCAGAUCAAACGUGCGCACGGACGGCCCAGAUUCACGCGUAUGGACGGACCAGAUUCAAUCAGCCACGGAAGACCCAGAUUUAAUCCCAAUUAAAUCGCAAUCGGACG
rnacentral:lncRNA from 1 species